rnacentral:rRNA from 1 species
GACGAACGCUGGCGGCGUGCCUAAUACAUGCAAGUAGAACGCUGAAGAGAGGAGCUUGCUCUUCUUGGAUGAGUUGCGAACGGGUGAGUAACGCGUAGGUAACCUGCCUUGUAGCGGGGGAUAACUAUUGGAAACGAUAGCUAAUACCGCAUAACAAUGGAUGACACAUGUCAUUUAUUUGAAAGGGGCAAUUGCUCCACUACAAGAUGGACCUGCGUUGUAUUAGCUAGUAGGUGAGGUAAUGGCUCACCUAGGCGACGAUACAUAGCCGACCUGAGAGGGUGCUCGGCCACCCUGGGACUGGGACACGGCCCAGACUCCUACGGGAGGCAGCAGUAGGGAAUCUUCGGCAAUAGGGGCAACCCUGACCGAGCAACGCCGCGUGAGUGAAGAAGGUUGUCGGAUCGUAAAGCUCUGUUGUAAGUCAAGAACGGGUGUGAGAGUGGAAAGUUCACACUGUGACGGUAGCUUACCAGAAAGGGACGGCUAACUACGUG